rnacentral:rRNA from 1 species
AUUCCUACGGGAGGCAGCAGUGAGGAAUAUUGGUCAAUGGACGGAAGUCUGAACCAGCCAUGCCGCGUGCAGGGAGACGGCUCUAUGAGUUGUAAACUUCUUUUGUACAAGGGUAAACCUGAAUACGUGUAUUCAGCUGAAAGUACUGUACGAAUAAGGAGCGGCUAACUACGCGCCAGCAGCCGCGGUAAUAAGGAGGAUGCGAGCGUUAUCCGGAUUUAUUGGGUUUAAAGGGUGCGCCGGAGGCGUGACAAGUCAGCGGCAAAAUGUCGGGGCUCAACCGCGGC